rnacentral:rRNA from 1 species
AUUGAACGCUGGCGGCAUGCCUUACACAUGCAAGUCGAGCGCGAAAGGGGGCAACCCCGAGUAGAGCGGCGGACGGGUGAGUAACACAUCGGAACGUGCCCAGUAGUGGGGGACAACCUCGAGAAAUCGAGGCUAAUACCGCAUACGACCCACGGGUGAAAGCGGGGGACCCAAAGGAAACUGAGGGCCUCGCGCUAUUGGAGCGGCCGAUGUCCGAUUAGCUAGUUGGCGGGGUAAAGGCUUACCAAGGCGAUGAUCGGUAGCUGGUCUGAGAGGAUGAUCAGCCACACUGGGACUGAGACACGGCCCAGACUCCUACGGGAGGCAGCAGUGGGGAAUUUUGGACAAUGGGGGCAACCCUGAUCCAGCCAUUCCGCGUGAGUGAAGAAGGCCU